rnacentral:rRNA from 1 species
AUUGAACGCUGGCGGCAGGCCUAACACAUGCCAGUCGAGCGGAUGAAGGGAGCUUGCUCCUGGAUUCAGCGGCGGACGGGUGAGUAAUGCCUAUGAAUCUGCCUGGUAGUGGGGGAUAACGUCCUGAAACGGGCGCUAAUACCGCAUACGUCCUGAGGGAGAAAGUUGGUGAUCUUCGGACCUCACGCUCUCAGAUGAGCCUAGGUCGGAUUAGCUAGUUGGUGGGGUAAAGGCCUACCAAGGCGACGAUCCGUAACUGGUCUGAGAGGAUGAUCAGUCACACUGGAACUGAGACACGGUCCAGACUCCUAAGGGAGGCAGCAGUGGGGAAUAUUGGACAAUGGGCGAAAGCCUGAUCCAGCCAUGCCGCGUGUGUGAAGAAGGUCUUCGGAUUGUAAAGCACUUUAAGUUGGGAGGAAGGGCAGUAAGUUAAUACCUUGCUGUUUUGACGUUACCAACAGAAUAAGCACCGGCUAACUUCGUG